UACGUAGGGCGCGAGCGUUGUCCGGAAUCAUUGGCGUAAAGAGCUCGUAGGCGGCCGGUUGCGUCUGCUGUGAAAUCCCGGGGCUUAACCCCGGGCGUGCAGUGGAUACGGGCUGGCUGGAGGCAGGCAGGGGAGAAUGGAAUUCCCGGUGUAGCGGUGAAAUGCGCAGAUAUCGGGAGGAACACCGGUGGCGAAGGCGGUUCUCUGGGCCUGUGCUGACGCUGAGGAGCGAAAGCGUGGGGAGCGGACAGG
rnacentral:rRNA from 1 species